GCCCGGAUGGCGGAAUUGGUAGACGCGCUGGCUUCAGGAGCCAGUCCCCGCAAGGGGGUGGGAGUUCAAAUCUCCCUUCGGGCA
rnacentral:tRNA from 1 species